CUUGACGUCGUAAGCGACGGAGUGCCAACAAUAUUUCGUUGACUACAGAUUGUUUUAAAAUACGUCCAACAAAGAUGAGAUUCAGAAUAGGAAUCUACAAACAACAUAGUUAAGUAUUGGUUCCAAAUUUUGGUUCAAGCCCAGCAAUUUGGUGGCGGAAGGGUAAGUGCUCAACUGGUACUUAUUUUAUCGACCUCGAAAAGCUGAAAGGCACACUGAAACUCGAGACAGGUGAAAUGCCGUUAAAUAUUUUCCGCAGCUUGCUAACGAUUCUACCAGCACGCAGCCUUGAAAAUAGUUAUUGUAAAAUAGUUUAGUUUGGCACUUCGUUGUUUCUUCUGAUUCUGCAUUUGAGCGUGACUUUCACUGCUGUGUUACUUUUGAAAGAAAUCAUUUAUAUAUUGUUCUUUCUUUUCCAUGAAUAUUUGAAAACAGAAAUCUCAGAUGUCGAAUAGCCUAGGGAUGCAUUUGUACUUCAAAAAGGAAUUUUUGCAAAUUACAGGCAGUUUUAAAGAAAGGGGUGCCCGUUACACACUUCUAAUGUUAUCCCCGG